rnacentral:pre_miRNA from 1 species
GAGCGGUAGUUGUAUCGGCUGUGAUAUGUUGUAUGAUUGGUUGUUGCUCACAUCACAGACCCGAUGCAGCGACUGCACUUGUGCUACUCCCG